rnacentral:rRNA from 1 species
ACUGCUCAGUAACACGUAGUUAACCUAACCUAUGGACGGGGAUAACCUCGGGAAACUGAGAAUAAUACCCGAUAGAUCACGGUGCCUGGAAUGGCCCGUAGUUGAAAUGAUUUAUCGCCGUAGGAUGGGACUGCGGCCUAUCAGCUAGUUGGUGAGGUAAUGGCCCACCAAGGCUAUAACAGGUACGGGCUCUGAGAGGAGGGGCCCGGAGAUGGGUACUGAGACACGGACCCAGGCCCUAUGGGGCGCAGCAGGCGAGAAACCUUUGCAAUGUGCGAAAGCACGACAAGGUUAAUCCGAGUGUCUCCUGCUAAAGGAGUCUUUUGUCAGUCAUAGAACCACUGGUGAAUAAGGGGUGGGCAAGUUCUGGUGUCAGCCGCCGCGGUAAAACCAGCACCUCGAGUGGUCAGGAGGUUUAUUGGGCCUAAAGCAUCCGUAGCCGGUUGUUUAAGUUUUCGGUUAAAUCUAUGCGCUUAACGUAUAGGCCGCCGAAAAUACUGGACAGCUAGGGAGUGGGAGAGGUACACGGUACUCAAUAGGAAGGGGUAAAAUCCUUUGAUCUAUUGAUGACCACCUGUGGCGAAGGCGGUGUACCAGAACACGUUCGACGGUGAGGGAUGAAAGCUGGGGGAGCAAACCGGAUUAGAUACCCGGGUAGUCCCAGCUGUAAACGAUGCUGACUCGGUGAUGCAUUGGCUUGUGGCCAAUGCAGUGCCGCAGGGAAGCCGUUGAGUCUGCCGCCUGGGAAGUACGUACGCAAGUAUGAAACUUAAAGGAAUUGGCGGGGGAGCAC